rfam:Picea glauca, whole genome shotgun sequence.
GCCUACAAACAUAGCGCUAAUGCUCCAGAUCCCAUUAGAAAUUUUUAGUUAAGUGCGCUUAGGCUAGAGUAGUAUUGGGAUGAGUGAUCGUCAGGGAAGUCCUAGUGUUUUACAUGCC